GACGAACGCUGGCGGCGUGCUUAACACAUGCAAGUCGAACGGAAAGGCCCUGCUUUUGUGGGGUGCUCGAGUGGCGAACGGGUGAGUAACACGUGAGUAACCUGCCCUUGACUUUGGGAUAACUUCAGGAAACUGGGGCUAAUACCGGAUAGGAGCUCCUGCUGCACGGGGGGGGUUGGAAAGAUUCGGCGGUUGGGGAUGGACUCGCGGCUUAUCAGCUUGUUGGUGGGGUAGUGGCUUACCAAGGCUUUGACGGGUAGCCGGCCUAGAGGGUGACCGGCGACAUUGGGACUGAGAUACGGACCAGACUCCUACGGGCGGCAGCAGUGGAGAAUAUUGCAGAAUGGGCGGACGCCUGAUGCAGCAACGCCGCGUGCGGGAUGACGGCCUUCGGGUUGUAAACCGAUUUGGCCUGUGACGAAGCGUGAGUGACGGUAAUGGGUAAAGAAGCACCGGCUAACUACGUG
rnacentral:rRNA from 1 species